GCUUAACCACACCCCCACGGGAAACAGCAGUGACAAAAAUUAAGCCAUAAACGAAAGUUUGACUAAGUUAUAUUAAUUAGGGUUGGUAAAUCUCGUGCCAGCCACCGCGGUCAUACGAUUAACCCAAGCUAACAGGAGUACGGCGUAAAACGUGUUAAAGCACCAUACCAAAUAGGGUUAAAUUCUAACUAAGCUGUAAAAAGCCAUGAUUAAAAUAAAAAUAAAUGACGAAAGUGACCCUACAAUAGCCGACGCACUAUAGCUAAGACCCAAACUGGGAUUAGAUACCCCACUAUGCUUAGCCCUAAACACAGAUAAUUACAUAAACAAAAUUAUUCGCCAGAGUACUACUAGCAACAGCUUAAAACUCAAAGGACUUGGCGGUGCUUUAUAUCCUUCUAGAGGAGCCUGUUCUAUAAUCGAUAAACCCCGAUAAACCU
rnacentral:rRNA from 1 species